rnacentral:rRNA from 1 species
GACGAACGCUGGCGGCGUGCCUAACACAUGCAAGUCGAACGAAGUAUACUUUCGGGUAUGCUUAGUGGCGGACGGGUGAGUAACGCGUGAACAAUCUGCCCUAUACACAGGAAUAGCCUCGGGAAACUGGGAUUAAAACCGGAUAACACUUUUUAGCCGCAUGGCUUAGAAGUCAAAUUGAUUUAGAGUUAUAGGAUGAGUUCGCGCCUGAUUAGCUAGUUGGUGAGGUAACGGCUCACCAAGGCGACGAGCAGUAGCCGGCCUGAGAGGGUGAACGGCCACACUGGAACUGAGACACGGUCCAGACUCCUACGGGAGGCAGCAGUGGGGAAUAUUGCACAAUGGAGGAAACUCUGAUGCAGCGACGCCGCGUGAGUGAAGAAGGUCUUCGGAUCGUAAAACUCUGUCCUUGGUGAAGAAUAAAAUGACGGUAGCCAAGGAGGAAGCCCCGGCUAACUACGUGCCAGCCGCCGCAGUAAAAC